CCUACGUGUGGCAGCAGUGAGGAAUAUUGGUCAAUGGGCGCGAGCCUGAACCAGCCAAGUAGCGUGAAGGAUGACUGCCCUACGGGUUGUAAACUUCUUUUAUAAAGGAAUAAAGUGAGGCACGUGUGCCUUUUUGUAUGUACUUUAUGAAUAAGGAUCGGCUAACGCCGUGCCAGCAGCCGCGGUAAUACGGAGGAUCCGAGCGUUAUCCGGAUUUAUUGGGUUUAAAGGGAGCGUAGAUGGGUUGUUAAGUCAGUUGUGAAAGUUUGCGGCUCAACCGUAAAAUUGCAAUUGAUACUGGCAGUCUUGAGUACAGUUGAGGUAGGCGGAAUUCGUGGUGUAGCGGUGAAAUGCUUAGAUAUCACGAAGAACUCCGAUUGCGAAGGCAGCUUACUAAACUGCCACUGACAUUGAUGCUCGAAAGUGUGUGUAUCAAACAGGAUUAGAUACCCUUGUAGUC
rnacentral:rRNA from 1 species